rnacentral:rRNA from 1 species
CAGCAGCCGCCGCGGUAAUACGAAGGGGGCUAGCGUUGUUCGGAAUUACUGGGCGUAAAGCGCACGUAGGCGGAUAUUUAAGUCAGGGGUGAAAUCCCAGAGCUCAACUCUGGAACUGCCUUUGAUACUGGGUAUCUUGAGUAUGGAAGAGGUGAGUGGAAUUCCGAGUGUAGAGGUGAAAUUCGUAGGUAUUCGGAGGAACACCAGUGGCGAAGGCGGCUCACUGGUCCAUUACUGACGCUGAGGUGCGAAAGCGUGGGUAGCAAACAGGAUUAGAUACCCCGGUAGUCCCUGUCUCUUAUAC